CUGUUCUAUGUCGUGAAAUUAAUGCAGGUUCAAUUCAUAACAAUGCACAAAACCGGUCCAGCUACUUUUGCAAUGCGAAAAAGAAAGUCGAAUCGUGAAGCCAGUAAACAAUAUUUUUUUAAUCUGAGCAUGCAAAUUGAAGAUUAUGUUAUAUAUUUUACAUUAAAUGUAUUUGCAGAAUAAAAAUAUUGGUAAUGAGAGUCCCAG
rnacentral:lncRNA from 1 species